rnacentral:rRNA from 1 species
GGUGAUACUCCAGUCUCUGCUCCAAUUUGCGGUGUGUACKAUACRCUUUCUUUGAGUCGAGUUGUUUGGGAAUACAGCUCAAAGUAGGUGGUAAAUUCCAUCUAAAGCUAAAUAUUGGUGCGAGACCGAUAGCGAACAAGUACCGUGAGGGAAAGAUGAAAAGAACUUUGAAAAGAGAGUUAAAGAGUACCUGAAACUGUUGAAAGGGAACCGUAUCGUUUCCAGUGUUUUAUCCUAUGCAUAUUUCAUUCGUGGAGCAAUUUGCGGGUGCCCUGUGCAUGGGUGUGACGUCAGGGUCAGUUUGUAUGCUGCGGGAGAUGGUCAGUGAGGAGGUGCGUCACUUCGGUGAAAGUUAUAUCUCGCUGUCUAGUAGCCGUGGUUGAGACUGAGGUGCCUACAACAUGCCUUAAAGUUCCGUGUUGUCUCGUGUUGGUGACUGCUUUGAUAGCUUGCUAUGUCUGUGGUUUAUCAAUGCGAUUGAUGAUGCGGAUAACUUUUGCUGUUCGGGACUCUGGCGAAAUGGAGCGAUACGACCCGUCUUGAAACACGGACCAAGGAGUCUAACAUGUGUGCAAGUAUUAGGGCGUGGAAACCCAAAUGCGUAAUGAAAGUAAAUGCUGCUUAUGCAGCUGUGGUAGGAAAGGGCUGUCAAGGUCCUGGCACUAUCGACCGAUCAUGAGCCCACGGGCAAAAGAUUUGAGUAUGAGCAUAUAUGUUGGUACCCGAAAGAUGGUGAACUAUGCCUGAAUAGGGUGAAGCCAGGGGAAACUCUGGUGGAAGCUCGUAGCGAUUCUGACGUGCAAAUCGAUCGUCAAAUUUGGGUAUAGGGGCGAAAGACUAAUCGAACCAUCUAGUAGCUGGUUCCCUCCGAAAUUUCCCUC